rnacentral:miRNA from 1 species
AUACAAUUAAGGCACGCGGUGAAUGCCAAGAGCGGAUCCUCCAGGCGGCAUU